GAUCGUAUAUAAGAAGGUUUCAGAGAGUAAUCAGGAUUUCCAAAUAAAUGGAUGAUGCAUGGAUGAGAUGCUGAUAAGAAGUUGGAGAAUAGUGCUUCUACCACAGUUAUACAUUAUGUUUUGGAAUGUCAUCUUAACAUAUACACAUCUUGUAAUCAUUGGAUCAUGUUCUUUGUAAAGCUACAUAGUUGAUUUAAUAUAUGAGACCAUUUUGUUUA